rnacentral:rRNA from 1 species
UACGGAGGGGGCAAGCGUUAUUCGGAAUUAUUGGGCGUAAAGGGCGCGUAGGCGGCUAGAUGUGUCAAAGGUGAAAUCCCUCGGCUCAACUGAGGAACUGCCUUUGAAACUGUCUGGCUUGAGGCCGGGAGAGGGUAGCGGAAUUCCCAGUGUAGCGGUGAAAUGCGUAGAUAUUGGGAGGAACACCUAUUGCGAAGGCAGCUCGCUGGGACGUUACUGACGCUGAGACGCGAAAGCGUGGGGAGCAAACAGG